rnacentral:rRNA from 1 species
CAAUGGGGGAAACCCUGAAUGCAGCGACGCCGCGUGAGUGAAGAAGUAUCUCCGUAUGUAAAGCUCUAUCAGCAGGGNAAGAAAAUGACGGUACCUGCACUAAGAAGCCCCGGCUAACUACGUACCAGCAGCCGCGGUAAUACGUAGGGGGCAAGCGUUAUCCGGAAUUACUGGGUGUAAAGGGUGCGUAGGUGGUAUGGCAAGUCAGAAGUGAAAACCCAGGGCUUAACUCUGGGACUGCUUUUGAAACUGUCAGACUAGAGUGCAGGAGAGGUAAGCGGAAUUCCUAGUGUAGCGGUGAAAUGCGUAGAUAUUAGGAGGAACAUCAGUGGCGAAGGCGGCUUACUGGACUGAAACUGACACUGAGGCACGAAAGCGUGGGGAGCAAACAGGAUUAGAUACCCUGGUAGUCCAAGGGCGAAUUC